rnacentral:ncRNA from 1 species
AGCUUUCUCAAUUAAAAGUCUAGUGUUGUGACUGCUUAAAAAAUCAGAUCCCACUGGCUGAGGAGCCAAUGGGGCGAAGCUACCAUCUGUGGGAUUAUGACUGAACUCCUCUAAGUCAGAAUCCCGCCCAGGCGGAACGAUAUGGCAGCUCCUCGGCCGGCCUCGGUCGGCCUCGGUCGGCCUCGGAUACCUCGGAUACUUCGGAUAGCCGGUCCCCGCCGGCGAGCCGCCCCGCCCCGCGCCGGGACCAGGGUCCGGUGCGGAGUGCCCUUUGUCCUGGGAAACGGGGCGCGGCCGGAAAGGCGGCCGCCCUCUCGCCCGUCACGCAACGCACGUUCGUGGGGAACCUGGAGCUAAACCAUUCGUAGACGACCUGCUUCUGGGUCGGGGUUUGGUAGGUAGCAGAGCAGCUCCCUCGCUGCGAUCUAUUGAAAGUCAGCCCUCCACACAAGGGUUU